rnacentral:rRNA from 1 species
CAACUUUCAGCAACGGAUCUCUUGGCUCUCGCAUCGAUGAAGAACGCAGCGAAAUGCGAUAAGUAAUGUGAAUUGCAGAAUUCAGUGAAUCAUCGAAUCUUUGAACGCACCUUGCGCUCCUUGGUAUUCCGAGGAGCAUGCCUGUUUGAGUG